rnacentral:rRNA from 1 species
UACGUAGGUGGCAAGCGUUGUCCGGAAUUACUGGGUGUAAAGGGCGUGUAGGCGGGGAUGCAAGUCAGAUGUGAAAUCCUGGGGCUCAACCCCAGAGCUGCAUCUGAAACUGCAACUCUUGAGUGCUGGAGAGGAAAGCGGAAUUCCUAGUGUAGCGGUGAAAUGCGUAGAUAUUAGGAGGAACACCAGUGGCGAAGGCGGCUUUCUGGACAGUAACUGACGCUGAGGCGCGAAAGCGUGGGGAGCGAACAGG